CCCCAAUGUACCUUUACUACAAUCCUUCCUGGACCUUUCACACAGGGAAAAGUAUAGUGAAAAAACAUAAGAAGAAAAAAUUAGAUUUCUGCCCUGCCAGAAGUAGUGGACACAGCUUGCCCUUUAGCCCUCACUACGACACGGACAGGACCGGACCCCAGUCCAAGAAAGUAGCAGUAGACAAAGAAGAGUCCAGCGUGGUAGUUCAAGCAAUACUUAGAAGUUUAUUCAGCAAUCAGCCAACACGGAGAACAGGCGACGCAUUUCGGCCACGGAGCUCACCUUUCUGAUGGAAGCUCUGGUGAAACACGUCUAUCAAAUGGUGGGAUCGUGACAGCAGAAUAUAUCGACUUCAAUUCAGAAGAGGUGGCAUGUCUAACGCCAUGAAAUUGACCUGCUUAAAGGUUUUCUACAAUGUGAUCAUGACCGGUGACAUCUGUUUGCGAUGGUAAUUGCUUACCACAUAGCAGGGAAGGAAAGCCACCAGCCAGAACGGCAACGACAGCAAAGCAAUCAAGAUGUUGGACAUGCAUGGAGGACAGCUCUUAUUUACAGCCAUGUCUAACAGCCAGAAAAGCCAAUGUGGACUGAAGCUGGUCUCUACCUCAUGUAGCAAAUCCAUUCCAUCUCCCCACCAAAAUCUGGACGAUGUUACCCUAUAGUUAGUACAGCAAAUGACAAUUUCAUGGAAGCUUAUAGGAUGGAGAAUGGAAAAAUAACAUUGAAAGAUUGAUACAACUGAGGAAAAAAAUUAGGAAAUUUAUUCUACGAUGCGGCAGUUCUGCGCAUUGAGUUUAUGGAGUCAAAGUUGGGCAUCUGGGUUAAGAAGCUUUAAAGUCAUCCAGUGAUUUCACUAACAUUUUACCAGUUUAGAAACUUUUUAUAUUACUUGUUUUUCUUAUGUUAUGCUAAUUUUGUGGGUUUUACUAUGUCUUUUUCUCCACUCAUACAGUAUAUAUACAUGGCUCCUCUCAAAGUUCUGCUAAUUUUCCUUGGAAACGGACAACAGUUUAGUUCCACAUAUUACCAGACUUAACUAGGUGACUGUACUCUAAAUUUACACAAUGCAUUGCUUUAUGGUCAUUUCAAAUAUUCUUCACAAUAAAU